ACAACAGUUGGAAACGACUGCUAAUACCGCAUAAUGUCUACGGACCAAAGGGGGCUUCGGCUCUCGCCUUUAGAUUGGCCCAAGUGGGAUUAGCUAGUUGGUGAGGUAAUGGCUCACCAAGGCGACGAUCCCUAGCUGGUUUGAGAGGAUGAUCAGCCACACUGGGACUGAGACACGGCCCAGACUCCUACGGGAGGCAGCAGUGGGGAAUAUUGCACAAUGGGCGCAAGCCUGAUGCAGCCAUGCCGCGUGUGUGAAGAAGGCCUUCGGGUUGUAAAGCACUUUCAGUCAGGAGGAAAGGUUAGUAGUUAAUACCUGCUAGCUGUGACGYYACUGACAGAAGAAGCACCGGCUAACUCCGUGCCAGCAGCCGCGGUAAUACGGAGGGUGCGAGCGUUAAUCGGAAUUACUGGGCGUAAAGCGUACGCAGGCGGUUUGUUAAGCGAGAUGUGAAAGCCCUGGGCUCAACCUGGGAACUGCAUUUCGAACUGGCAAACUAGAGUGUGAUAGAGGGUGGUAGAAUUUCAGGUGUAGCGGUGAAAUGCGUAGAGAUCUGAAGGAAUACCGAUGGCGAAGGCAGCCACCUGGGUCAACACUGACGCUCAUGUACCAACGCCCGGCGCGC
rnacentral:rRNA from 1 species